rnacentral:rRNA from 1 species
UACGUAGGGUGCAAGCGUUGUCCGGAAUUAUUGGGCGUAAAGGGUUCGUAGGUGGCCGGCUAAGUCAGACGUGAAAUCCCUCAGCUUAACUGGGGAACUGCGUCUGAAACUGAUCGGCUUGAGUGCAGGAGAGGAACGCGGAAUUCCAGGUGUAGCGGUGAAAUGCGUAGAUAUCUGGAGGAACACCGGUGGCGAAGGCGGCGUUCUGGACUGCAACUGACACUGAGGAACGAAAGCCAGGGGAGCAAACGGG